AACGUAGGACGCAAGCGUUAUCCGGAGUUACUGGGCGUAAAGGGCGGGCAGGCGGUUCGUCAAGUGGGGUGUGAAAGCUCCCAGCUUAACUGGGAGAGGCCAUUCCAAACUGACGGACUGGAGGGCAGCAGAGGUAGGCGGAAUUCCGGGUGGAGUGGUGAAAUGCGUAGAGAUCGGGAGGAACAUCAGUUGCGAAGGCGGCUCUCUGGACCAGCACUGACACUGAGGCACGAAAGCGUGGGGAGCAAACAGG
rnacentral:rRNA from 1 species